UACGUAGGGGGCGAGCGUUGCCCGGAAUGACUGGGCGUAAGGGCGUGUAGGCGGUGGACUAAGUCUGGAGUGGAAGUCCUGUUUUCAAGAUGGGAACUGCUUUGGAUACUGGUCGACUUGAGUGCGGAAGAGGUAAGUGGAAUUCCCAGUGUAGCGGUGAAAUGCGUAGAGAUUGGGAGGAACACCAGUGGCGAAGGCGACUUACUGGGCCGUAACUGACGCUGAGGCGCGAAAGCGUGGGGAGCGAACA
rnacentral:rRNA from 1 species